GAGCGGCGGACGGGUGAGUAACGCGUAGGAAUCUACCUAGUAGAAGGGGAUAGCCCGGGGAAACCCGGAUUAAUACCGUAUACCUCCUUCGGGAGAAAGAAGGCCUCUCUUUGAAGCUUUCGCUACUAGAUGAGCCUGCGUAAGAUUAGCUUGUUGGUGAGGUAAAGGCUCACCAAGGCUACGAUCUUUAGCUGGUCUGAGAGGACGAUCAGCCACAUUGGGACUGAGACACGGCCCAGACUCCUACGGGAGGCAGCAGUGGGGAAUAUUGGACAAUGGGCGCAAGCCUGAUCCAGCCAUACCGCGUGUGAAGAAGGCCUUCGGGUUGUAAAGCACUUUAAGCAGGGAGAAAAAGUUAUAAGCUAAUACCUUAUGACCUUGAUGUUACCUGCAGAAUAAGCACCGGCUAAUUCCGUGCCAGCAGCCGCGGUAAUACGGAAGGUGCAAGCGUUAAUCGGAAUUACUGGGCGUAAAGCGCGCGUAGGUGGUUUGUUAAGUUGGAUGUGAAAGCCCUGGGCUCAACCUAGGAACUGCAUCCAAAACUAACUCACUAGAGUACGAUAGAGGGAGGUAGAAUUCAUAGUGUAGCGGUGGAAUGCGUAGAUAUUAUGAAGAAUACCAGUGGCGAAGGCGGCCUCCUGGAUCUGUACUGACACUGAGGUGCGAAAGCGUGGGUAGCGAACAGGAUUAGAUACCCUGGUAGUCCACGCCGUAAACGAUGACAACUAGCUGUUGGGAGACUAUGUCUUUCAGUGGCGCAGCUAACGCUUAAGUGUCCGCCUGGG
rnacentral:rRNA from 1 species